GGAGGGGUGGCAGAGCGGUUGAAUGCACCAGUCUUGAAAACUGGCAGGCUGAAAGGUCUCGUGGGUUCGAAUCCCNCCCCCUCCGCCA
rnacentral:tRNA from 1 species